UUAGAUCCUGAAGUCAAGAUAAACAAUAUACUGACAUCUGCUCUGAUGGAAUAUAAACACCGUCUUUUUCUGGACAAGACCGGACUCUCCUGUCCAGGAGGAUUUUAUACUGAAAUAUAAUGAUUAUAUGAUUAUUUUUAUUAUUUGGCCACAUGAGCAGCAUGGCUGUUAGCGGAAUUUUCAGCUCAUUCUUCCUGUUUUUGUUUUUGAUCUGGACCGAGGACACAUCACUUCGCUGUUUCCAAGGUUUGGAUCGUCAUAAGAAAUAAAUUCAGUUCAUCUGAGAAACUACAGCUGGAACACGGCGACCAAAAUCUGUAAGAAAGCCGAAGGAUGAGAGACGGAGAGAAGUAAAGUCUUUCUAAAAUCCCCACACUGAGUGCAGUUACUGAUGCAGGUGGUCGUCGGUCAGCUGUCUGUCCAGCCGCCCGCAGAUUAGUGCAGUGGAAGAGGAUUAGAAACCUGUUCAUGUGUGGAGGUGAGGAUGUGAGACUGUCAGAGGAGGAAACGCUCCAGAGCUCCGUCCGGCCGUUCUCUGGCACCGGUGACCCGUUACACACUGACCCCACUGCUGUGACCCGGUGCUGUUUUCAGAACUAGCAGUAACACAGUGAUGAUGCGUGUGAUUGUUACUUGCAUUAAUAUC